CGCGCCCCGCCCCUCCGGCUGCCAGCUCACCUUCCACUCCCGCCUUGCGGCUGCAGCCUAACCGGGCUGAGGGAGGUUUUCGCACGUUCAAACCCUGGUUUGAGGGUCUGUGAGGAGGCCCCCCCAGGGUGCUCUGCUCGAGAGGACUCUGAACUCAUGCUGAUGUGGUAGGAAGCAAAAGAGACGGCCUUUCUCAGGCAGUCGGGACAGAGAUGGGGGAAGACACCAAACCGGAGAAGAGAGCAAGGAUCCUUCUGAGGGCACAACCAUUAGAUUUGCUGUUUCAGUGGCUAAAGAUGCUGUUGUGUCCUGAUUGGUUGGUGAAAUUGCUGUCAUCCCUACUUCCCCCUCAUGUUUACAACGAAGGUCAUUAGCUGAGAAACAUACAGCCCUGAUUGCUGUUGGUAGACAUUUGCCACUAUGAUGGAAGGCAGCCUGAGGACAAAAUAAUUGUCAAGAAAAAGGCAGAAUCAAGAGAGUCACAGAAGAAUAAAGCUGGAGUGCUGAUCAAUCUAUGAUGAAUGAGUCUAUAAAUUAUCUGUAUUAAGUGAGCCAGUUAGCACUGGGAUUUACUGUUACUUGUAACAGCAUUAUACAUGUCUUGGGAGGAAAAGUUUGCCAACUUGAGAAAAACACAAAUUAUCUCUCUAUAAUGAGCUGACUUGAGAACAUAUCCAUAAAUCUGGACAUUGUGCAGUGUUGUAAAAUGAGUGACUUUCUUGGGGACUAGAAAAAUAAUCGCAGACAACCUUUUUUAAAAACUAGCAACUAACUCCUAAAAGCCAUCAAACAUUUUAAUGUUUCUAUGGCAGCAAACUAACUAUUAAAGAAGAGUGAAUAAAUAGUUUGGCAGGUAGAAUUAGAAAAACUCAAGACUUUGAGAAGCCCUUGGAGAAAAGAGGACUUUCUGUUGCCCUGUAUAUAACAGGCACUCUAUGAAUACUAAAUUGAAUCUAUUAAUUCAUGUAAGAAAGGGUCAGCAGAAUGGAACUUGAGUUCACUAAUCAUUUUUUUUUCCAGGUUUUGAGUAAGCUUAGACCUGCAACUACAGUGAUAUUUGUUCUAUUAAUAUAAAGGAUUCUAGCUAUAUUUUUCCACUUCCAGUAUGAGAUCUGAUCUAGGGUCAUAUUGCAUUUAAUUGUCAUGUUUCUUUAGUCAUCUUUAAUCUGGAACAUUUCCACGGACAUUUCUUGGUUUUUUAUAAAAUUGACAUUUUGGUUAAUUCUUUUAUAUUUUUGACGUUUUAUCAACCCA